rnacentral:tRNA from 1 species
CAGAGAAUAGUUUAAUUAAAAUAUUAAUUUUGGAGAUUAAAGAUAAGGGUUUCCUUUUCUCUGA